ensembl:lncRNA
AUGCGCAGGUGCCUGUGCGCCUGCGCAGACCCCAGGGGACAAGAGGGGGGGGUGUGCUCCGCCUCGUGCGACCGUGUCACCUUGCCGCUCACCUGUCAGAGGGCGCCCUGCUCCAGAGAUCUGAGGGAUCGUCCCAGAGUGAGGCCAGGAUGGCAGGCUCCUGCGUGUGUCUACUCCUACUGCACCUCUCAUGCUCGGAGGGAACCCAGAGUGGAAUCCUGCUCCUCACGUCAAGGUGAUAAACACAGCUGCCCUGUCUGCAGGACAUGGAUAGCCUCUAUGAAAGCAAAGUAUGUACACCCUCAUGAAGUUCUGGCCCGUGUGUGUGUGUGUGUGUGUGUGUGUGUGUAUAAAUGUUUCAAGUUUUUUUUAUGUUUCUAGUUAAUGUAUAGUAUAAUAUUAGUUUCAGGAGUAGAAUUUAGUGAUUCAUGACAUAUAUAACACGCAUUUCUCAUCAUAACAAGUGCCCUCCUUAAUGCCCAUCACCCAUUUAACCUGUCCCCUUUGCCUGUCUCCCCUCAAGAGACCCUCAGUUUGUUC